ACAGCCUUGGUGGCCAACACAUGGAGAAAACACAGCCAGCCUGGCUCCUGCUCUUGCAAAAUGUCUCCUUCAUUUCUAAUCCACUGUACAAUGGUAGGAAAUUCAGAGAUAUACAGCUGGGCAGGACUGGAACACACAGCAGCUCAUAAGGACCAGCACCAAGACAAAGUACAGUUUUCAGACUGAGCCUUUUUGACACUGAGCAAACUAGAUAUAGUAUGAUCUAGUACAGGAACUACUCCAGUGAUGGUUUACAGGGACAUUAUCUCAGCAGAAGGGAAUGGACCACUAUUUGAGUUCAUCUAAACCCACACAGAAACAUUAAGAGCUGAAUCUAAGAACUGAAAGUCUGCCUUGGGCUCUGCUAGAUAACUCCUGGCAUCAGGCUCUGAUUGCUCAUUUGAUGAGAAAAGACUGCAACACUAAUUGACCCCAUCAGGAUUCCUGAGCCUUAAUUUAUUAAUGGAGCUGACUCACUUGUUUCAUGUACACCUCAAUCACAUCCUCUGACAUCUGCUAUUUAUUGAAAAUGGGCUCUUUCCGUCCAGGGAAUUUUACCCUAGACGGCUGAGACUACAUAGCUAUUACACAUUGAAAAGAGACUACUCAAGCAGAUCCAGACUGUUAGGAUGAAGAAACCAUAAUUGGAGACAGUAUGGUUUGCUGCUGUGUUUCUCAACCACAGAGCUAGGUCACCAGAGGUGAAGGUAAAUGUGUCUGUGUUGUAGUUACUCUGGCAGCUCUUUGCAGUACACAAGGCCUUGAAAAUUUUACUAGAUAAUAAAAGAAAGAUAAACAUAGUUCCUUCCAAUCACUCUUCAAAGUUGGGCUUUCUUAACUCAUUAAAUCCCACAGAAAACUUUACCACAAACUUGUCUCCACUCUCACUUUUCCUCCCUGUGUAGCCCUUCUAUUAUAAAUGUGAAAAUACAGUGACAUUUUUGGAUCAUUAGUAGGAGAUAACUAGCUAAUAAGAGGGAAAGAAAAGAUGAAACCCAAUACAUUGCUGUGUAUAAAUUCUGGACACUCUACAGAUCAGUUCUGGAGUCUUUUUCCUACUAUUUGACUUCAGUAAAGUCACUUCAGCUUUCCCUGAGCCUGUUUUUUCUUUGUAAAUAGGAGAAAUGACAUAUUUACUUUUUGAGAUUCAAGUGUAUAAUACAUUUAAUGACAGGUUAGAAGCACUGAUCAGAGCAACCCAGCAAAGACAAGAACUGUGCCAAAAAGAAAUGGUGGAUUAUAACUAGAAGAGUGACAACUUCAAAUAUGUGCUUAACCACAGAUCUUGUUUGACAGAUGUUUUUUUUUUUCAGAAAAUGUUCAUUUUAUGACACUAUUGUAAAUUGAAUAACCUGAAUUUAAGAUACUCACCCAAAAGAAUCCCUAUGACUUUGGCACUUCUUGGUGCAGAACUCUCCUCACAGGUAGUUUUACUAUGAUUGCAUUUUUAAGAUAAUAGAGUAACGUGACAAUGCUUUGAUAUGUGAUGAAGCAGAAUUUACAAGAACUUCUAUGUUGAAUAUUUUCUAAAGAAAGCAGUAUGAAGAACUAUGGCUUAAAGAAGACGCUGACAUAAUCAGCUGUAGCUCUUGAAUCUCAAAAUAACAAUGAACAGAAUCUUUGGGGACAGCAUUCUCUGUGUUGUAAAUGCACUGAGGUCCAGUUUGCUGAACAUUCAGAAUUUGGACAGAAACAUGUUAUUGAAUAAUGCAUGGGUUAGUGACUUAGUGAAGGUUUUCCAUCACUAAGUGAAGGUUUUCCAUCAGUGCAAGGACUACGUACAGAGUGCUCUUGUGUCCAUCUGGUAGCAAAGUGCCUAAAGAAAUAAAGGAAUCUAGAGAUGAUGAUGUUUCUGUUCCAAAACCUCUUUGCUUUUAUUUUAUUAUUGUUAAAAAAGCAUUCAAAACUGUGGAAAGAAGGUGGAAUACAAGUUCCAAACUUCACAGCUGGAACAUAUAUCUCCCAUGAGGUGAUCUGAAACACUAGGUCUGAAUAUCCCUCUAAUUUGGAUGUUAUUCAGACUUAAAUUCUGUAGCAAGACCCAGACUGAGUUAAACUGAUGUCUAGAUUCAUGUGACAGUAAACAUGUAAACUAAGCUGAGUUCGAAGUCCAGGUCAGAAAAUUUCCACAGUCCCAACAUAAGCAACUCCUUCACUUUGAGAAACUCUGAUGGGUAUUACGUACUGCUGAAGUACAGAGAGAUAAAAGAAUCAUGAUUAGGGUCAACAGGCCUAUUCCUGAUUUUAAGAAAAAGGCUUUAGAAGGAGUGCAGAGAAGGCAAGCCCCAAAGAAAAUAAUUAGUCAAGCAAAAACAUUUAUACUGGAUUGUGGGAACAACCUGAAAUGAUUUUCCCUUUGGGACUUCAGUUGCAGAGGCUUUGCCGGCUAUCCCAGAAACUCUUACUGUCUUUGAAUCAUGAAGCUCCACAGCUGCCUUCUGGGAAGAAAACUACUAGAACUAGGGGAGAGUGAACCACAGGGAGGAGGAAGGUGGCUUAACAGCCUGCUUGUAGUAGAGAAGGUCAUCUUAUGUAGGAAAUCACAAUGGAGGUCAGCAGACCAUUUUAAUUCAAAUCCUGCUACUUUCUGGAAAUAAGAUAUCACAGUAGAUGAAGAUUAGCAACAAGAGAUAAUGAAGCUCUGCACUGAAUGCAGAAAGAAUGGAGAAGGGAACAGUCAAGCCUUCUUGACAGUGUCUAGGAAUGAAAUAGAAAAGUGAUGUUUUUUGAUAAAUGAAUAAAAGCCUUAAGAUGCUUUUGUUUUUGUUUGUUUUUGUUUGCCAAAAGAUGCAGUCUUUUUCCCCUGCAAGAUUAAUUUUAGAAAAUAUGUAGAAAACCCAUACACGUGUCCUGUAGCUGACUCUCUUCAGAACUGGUUCUCUGCAAAGAAUCGAUUGGAACAAUCUUUCUCUGGUAUGCACCCAAAGAACUCAAUAAAACAACCCAAACCAAGAAAAAUUUU
ensembl:lncRNA